AGCGUAGGCGGACAUUUAAGUCAGGGGUGAAAUCCCGGGGCUCAACCUCGGAAUUGCCUUUGAUACUGGGUGACUUGAGUAUGAGAGAGGUGUGUGGAACUCCGAGUGUAGAGGUGAAAUUCGUAGAUAUUCGGAAGAACACCAGUGGCGAAGGCGACACACUGGCUCAUUACUGACGCUGAGGCUCGAAAGCGUGGGGAGCAAACA
rnacentral:rRNA from 1 species